rnacentral:rRNA from 1 species
CCUACGGGAGGCAGCAGUAGGGAAUCUUCCACAAUGGACGAAAGUCUGAUGGAGCAACGCCGCGUGAGUGAAGAAGGGUUUCGGCUCGUAAAGCUCUGUUGGUAGUGAAGACAGAUAGAGGUAGUAACUGUCCUUUAUUUGACGGUAAUUACUUAGAAAGGCACGGCAAACUACUGGCCAGCAGCCGCGGUAAUAAGGAGGUGGCAAGCGUUGUCCGUUUUUAUUGGGAGUAAAGCGAGUGCAGGCGGUUCAAUAAGUGUGAUGUGAAAGCCUUCGGCUUAAACGGAGAAUUGCAGCAGAAACUGUUGGACGUGAGGGAAGAAGAGGAGAGAGGAACGCGAGGUGUAGCGGUGGAAUGCGUAGAUAUAUGGAAGAACACCAGUGGCGAAGGCGGCUCUCUGGUCUGCAACUGACGCUGAGGCUCGAAAGCAUGGGUAGCGAACAGGAUUAGAUACCCUAGUAGUC